AAUUUUGCGCUAAAGAAAAAGGGUAAUAAUUUAGAAAACAUUAAGAGAGUUGCAGUUUGGUGGAAUGCAAUUGUUUUGAUUAUUAUAGAUCAUUUUCUAGCAUCAUUUCUGAAGUAAGUAGGAAGUGACGGUUAAAGCCGUUAUUUAAAAUAAGUGAUUAAAUUUUUUGAUUUAAUAAUUUAGGUGGUACCGCGAAUUUCGUCCUGAGA
rnacentral:ncRNA from 1 species